UUACGACCACAUCACGUUGAAACACCGGUUCCCGCACGAUCACCGAAGUUAAACAACAUCGAGCUUGGUCAGUACUUACAUGGCUGUCUCCUUAGGGAUACCGGGUGGUGUAA